rnacentral:rRNA from 1 species
GCGUAACAUUAGCUAGUUGGUAAGGUAACGGCUUACCAAGGCUUUGAUGUUUAGGGGUCCUGAGAGGGUGAUCCCCCACACUGGUACUGAGACACGGACCAGACUCCUACGGGAGGCAGCAGUGAGGAAUAUUGGUCAAUGGGCGCAAGCCUGAACCAGCCAUCCCGCGUGCAGGAAGACGGCCCUAUGGGUUGUAAACUGCUUUUCCAGGGGGAGAAACUUGCGCACGUGUUGCGCAAUUGACGGUACCCUGGGAAUAAGCAUCGGCUAACUCCGUGCCAGCAGCCGCGGUAAUACGGAGGAUGCGAGCGUUAUCCGGAUUCAUUGGGUUUAAAGGGUGCGUAGGCGGACUAUUAAGUCAGUGGUGAAAUCCUGCAGCUUAACUGCAGAACUGCCAUUGAUACUGAUAGCCUUGAGUUUGGUUAAGGUAGGCGGAAUGUGUAAUGUAGCGGUGAAAUGCUUAGAUAUUACACAGAACACCAAUUGCGUAGGCAGCUUACUGAGCCGACACUGACGCUGAGGCACGAAAGCGUGGGGAUCGAACAGGAUUAGAUACCCUGGUAGUCCACGCCGUAAACGAUGAUUACUCGCUGUUGGCGAUACACUGUCAGCGGCUAAGCAAAAGCAAUAA